CUAGGAAUCUGCCUAGUGGUGGGGGAUAACGUUCGGAAACGGACGCUAAUACCGCAUACGUCCUACGGGAGAAAGCGGGGGACCUUCGGGCCUCGCGCCAUUAGAUGAGCCUAGGUCGGAUUAGCUAGUUGGUGAGGUAAUGGCUCACCAAGGCGACGAUCCGUAACUGGUCUGAGAGGAUGAUCANUCACACUGGAACUGAGACACGGUCCAGACUCCUACGGGAGGCAGCAGUGGGGAAUAUUGGACAAUGGGCGAAAGCCUGAUCCAGCCAUGCCGCGUGUGUGAAGAAGGUCUUCGGAUUGUAAAGCACUUUAAGUUGGGAGGAAGGGUAGUAACUUAAUACGUUGCUACUUUGACGUUACCGACAGAAUAAGCACCGGCUAACUUCGUGCCAGCAGCCGCGGUAAUACGAAGGGUGCAAGCGUUAAUCGGAAUUACUGGGCGUAAAGCGCGCGUAGGUGGUUCAGUAAGUUGGAAGUGAAAUCCCCGGGCUC
rnacentral:rRNA from 1 species